rnacentral:rRNA from 1 species
CCUACGGGAGGCAGCAGUAAGGAAUAUUGGUCAAUGGAGGCAACUCUGAACCAGCCAUGCCGCGUGCAGGAUGACGGCCCUAUGGGUUGUAAACUGCUUUUAUACAAGAGAAAACCCUGGUACGUGUACCAGGUUGAUAGUAUUGUAAGAAUAAGCAUCGGCUAACUUCGUGCCAGCAGCCGCGGUAAGACGAAGGAUGCAAGCGUUAUCCGGAUUCAUUGGGUUUAAAGGGUGCGUAGGCGGACUGAUAAGUCAGUGGUGAAAUCUCUUUGCUUAACAAAGAAACUGCCAUUGAUACUGUCGGUCUAGAGUAUAGAUGACGUUGGCGGAAUAUGACAUGUAGUGGUGAAAUACUUAGAUAUGUCAUAGAACACCGAUUGCGAAGGCAGCUAACGAAACUAUAACUGACGCCGAGGCACGAAAGUGCGGGGAUCAAACAGGAUUAGAUACCCUGGUAGUCCGCACCGUAAACGAUGAUUACUCGUUGUUGGCGAUAUGACAGUCAGCGACCAAGCGAAAGCGAUAAGAAUCCACCUGGGGAGUACGCCGGCAACGGUGAAACUCAAAGGAAUUGACGGCGAGAGACGNGCGACGGACGACGACGAGGGAGGAGG